rnacentral:rRNA from 1 species
CCUACGGGGGGCAGCAGUGGGGAAUAUUGCACAAUGGGGGGAACCCUGCUGCAGCAACGCCGCGUGGGUGAAGAAGUACUUCGGUAUGUAAAGCCCUGUCAGCAGGGAAGAAAAUGACGGUACCUGACCAAGAAGCCCCGGCUAACUACGUGCCAGCAGCCGCGGUAAUACGUAGGGGGCACGCGUUAUCCGGAUUUACGGGGGGUAAAGGGAGCGUAGACGGCAAGGCAAGUCUGGAGUGAAAGCCCGUGGCUCAACCACGGGACUGCUUUGGAAACUGUGUUGCUGGAGUGCAGGAGGGGUAAGUGGAAUUUCUAGUGUAGCGGUGAAAUGCGUAGAUAGUAGGAGGAACACCGGUGGCGAAGGCGGCUUACUGGACUGUAACUGACGUUGAGGCUCGAAGGCGUGGGGAGCAAACAGGAUUAGAUACCCUAGUAGUC